AUCCGAGUCUCCAGGUGGAUGGAACGUUAGCAUAGACCACGGUCUAUGGUCAGGCCAUAGAUAUGUAUGGAAGACAGCCAGCUUGUCUGGUAGCAUCUCUGGCUGCUGUUGACCUUGUUUUUGGAGUAAGACACGGUGGAAGCUGAAUUAGUGAGGAUGACUCCUGCUCCUGUCAUCUCUAAGCUCCUCACACAUCUUUACCUGCACGUGAGGAAAAUCCCUCCUGUAGAAUGCAGAUGUUCAGAGGGAGAUGAUGCCACAUCUGGUCCAGCCGAUGGAAGGUCUUGAAGUUCUCUGUGGAUGGUCCUCUCACUGGAUUUAAGGUUCAGAUGCUCAGGAACAAACUGAGCCGAUUAUUAAAUGUUGCUACGAAGGUAUCGCUGUUUUUCUUUGUGAAUGCAAAGUGCUCCAACUGAAACUUGAAUUAGAACUUAGAAGUAAAUCCUUCCAUCUGAAAGGAUCUAGUUGCAUUAAUAACCUCAGAACGUUCUAAUUUUUAUUCCAGUCUUGGUUGGAAAUAGAAUCUCUGUAUUGAUUCAGGUAAAAACUGAACUUCACAGCAUGUUGGAGCAAAACAAGCAGAUGAAAAGUGUGAUGGUGUUGGAUUGUCAGACCGUAAUGUUGCAGCUCAAAGCAGCUUUUCUAUCUCACUUCAUUCUGACAUUCAGCUCUGAAUCAACAGCAGAUCCAGAUGAUGGUGAUCCAUGCUGUGGAAGUGUCACGUCUCCUCAUUUAAAUACACU